rnacentral:lncRNA from 1 species
GUAAGACAGCCAAUGACUUGAUUCCUCCUUCCUCCCUAUCCCUCUUCCACUUCCCCGAUCCCACUCCCAGCCUUUUACCCCAUAGUUUCCCAGUCAGCCCUUCUCCAGUGGGCUUUUACUUUUAAUUUGGCAGCUUGCUCUCUGAUUCUCCUUUGCCUUCCAUAAAGAAACCAUGACUAAACCAUUAGCACUCCAUUCUCCUCCCAGUGUCAACCUGCACCUGGGCCUUGUCUUUCACUUCUGCUAGUGCCAGUGGUAUUCACUCCAGUUAAUUUCUCAGGGUGACUCCAUUCCCGAGCCCUGGCUAUUUUACCUACCCUCCCUGUCACCUGUCCACCCUUGAAAUUCAUUCUUCUGAUGUAGCACGAACUGGGCUUAAUGCAGAUCCCUGCUUGUCUUCCCUAAGCGGCACGCCCCUUCUCCCUUACAGGGCCCUGAACAGCAGCGAGAAACACAGAAAGCUUUGGGCAGUUUGUUCUUGCUGAUCUAUUGUAUUAGAGGGUGGGACCAGGAGUAAAGCAGAAAUAGCUGGGAACAGUGAAACCUGUAUCUAAAUAAAUAAGCCAACGGCUAAGCUAACGAUAUUCCAUCUCUCAUGCGGAGUCACAGUUGGCCAGUGAAUAUUAGUUUACUUUUACUUGCUGCGUACUCACUGGUGGAGAAUGAGCAAGGCUUGGGUUGAGGAGAUGUAGGCAGAGGGGAACAUAAAGGCAAAGGGGGUGGAGAAUCUAUAAACCAGACAGACAGGCCUUAACUAUGCUGUGUUGUGCUCAUUUCCUGGCCCUGCUGAAUCAUCCCACCGCCACACAGGGAACAUGGUUGGGAUGUGAAGAGCUCCUUUAACAUGGCACAGAGUCUGGUGACUGGAAGGUCUAGAAGUAUAUCAGAGGAAAGGAAAAAUUAAUGGAUAAUGACCAGAUUUUACAUCCACCUAAUGGCUUGGAAUGUUCCAGUGCCAAGAGAAGGCCUUCUUGUCGCAUGUGAUUUCAUAAUAAUUAGGGCCAGCUGUGUCUGUGCGAAUCAGGUCAAGCCAGAUGCCAAACCCUAACUCAAACACUUACAGGAAGAUCCUCAUUGCCAGGAGCCUCAAACGUCCUGCAGAAAAUCAAAAAAAGCAUCUGCCUCCUGUGUCCCCUCUUUCCCUGUUGUACGGCUAACACCAGAUCCCAGUCUCUUCAGUGGCACUCAACUUUUUCAAGUCACAAGAUGGAAGCGCUUUGGAAGAGGAGUAAAGGACCUGGACUCUGAUUCCAUGCCACCGCAAACUCGGGCAGGCACUUCAAAGCAGAGAGUCUCAUUUUCCACUUCUGAAAAACACAUGGUCUAGAUGAGCUCUAAGUCCUUUGCACUCAAUAAUUUCACAGUCUUUUUUAUUAUUAAUAUUAUUUUCAAUUGAAAAAUCAUAAUUGUAUAUUUAUGGGGUACAAUGUGAUGUUUUGAUAUAUGUAUUCAAUAAGGAAUUAUUAAAUCAAGAUAAUUAACAUAUCCAUCAUCUCACUUGCCUAUCAUUUAAAAAAAUUUGCCUA